rnacentral:rRNA from 1 species
GACGAACGCUGGCGGCGUGCUUAACACAUGCAAGUCGAACGAGAGCGUAGAGAAAGCUUGCUUUUUCUACAAUCUAGUGGCAAACGGGUGAGUAACGCGUAAACAACCUGCCCUACGGAUGGGGACAACAGCUGGAAACGGCUGCUAAUACCGAAUACGUUCCGAAAGUCGCAUGACUAUCGGAAGAAAGGAUGGCCUCUAUUUAUAAGCUAUCGCCGGAGGAGGGGUUUGCGUCUGAUUAGCUAGUUGGAGGGGUAACGGCCCACCAAGGCGACGAUCAGUAGCCGGUCUGAGAGGAUGAGCGGCCACAUUGGAACUGAGACACGGUCCAGACUCCUACGGGAGGCAGCAGUGGGGAAUCUUCCGCAAUGGGCGAAAGCCUGACGGAGCAACGCCGCGUGAGUGAAGACGGCCUUCGGGUUGUAAAGCUCUGUUAUACGGGACGAAUAAUCUUGUGGUUAAUACCCAUGAGAAGUGACGGUACCGUAAGAGAAAGCCACGGCUAACUACGUG